rnacentral:rRNA from 1 species
AGAGUUUGAUCCUGGCUCAGGAUGAACGCUAGCUACAGGCUUAACAUAUGCAAGUCGAGGGGCAGCAUGGUCUUAGCUUGCUAAGGCCGAUGGCGACCGGCGCACGGGUGAGUAACGCGUAUCCAACCUGCCUUACACUCUUGGACAGCCUUCUGAAAGGGAGAUUAAUACAAGAUGUUAUCAUGAGUAAGCAUUUUCGCAUGAUUAAAGGUUUACCGGUGUAAGAUGGGGAUGCGUUCCAUUAGAUAGUAGGCGGGGUAACGGCCCACCUAGUCUUCGAUGGAUAGGGGUUCUGAGAGGAAGGUCCCCCACAUUGGAACUGAGACACGGUCCAAACUCCUACGGGAGGCAGCAGUGAGGAAUAUUGGUCAAUGGACGAGAGUCUGAACCAGCCAAGUAGCGUGAAGGAUGAAGGUUCUAUGGAUUGUAAACUUCUUUUAUACGGGAAUAAACGGAUCCACGUGUGGAUUUUUGCAUGUACCGUAUGAAUAAGGAUCGGCUAACUCCGUGCCAGCAGCCGCGGUAAUACGGAGGAUCCGAGCGUUAUCCGGAUUUAUUGGGUUUAAAGGGAGCGUAGAUGGGUUGUUAAGUCAGUUGUGAAAGUUUGCGGCUCAACCGUAAAAUUGCAAUUGAUACUGGCAGUCUUGAGUACAGUUGAGGUAGGCGGAAUUCGUGGUGUAGCGGUGAAAUGCUUAGAUAUCACGAAGAACUCCGAUUGCGAAGGCAGCUUACUAACCUGUAACUGACAUUGAUGCUCGAAAGUGUGGGUAUCAAACAGGAUUAGAUACCCUGGUAGUCCACACGGUAAACGAUGAAUACUCGCUGUAGGCGAUAUACAGUCUGCGGCCAAGCGAAAGCAUUAAGUAUUCCACCUGGGGAGUACGCCGGCAACGGUGAAACUCAAAGGAAUUGACGGGGACCCGCACAAGCGGAGGAACAUGUGGUUUAAUUCGAUGAUACGCGAGGAACCUUACCCGGGCUUAAAUUGCAACCGAAUAUGGCGGAAACGCUAUAGCUAGCAAUAGCGGUUGUGAAGGUGCUGCAUGGUUGUCGUCAGCUCGUGCCGUGAGGUGUCGGCUUAAGUGCCAUAACGAGCGCAACCCUUGCCGAUAGUUACUAACAGGUUAUGCUGAGGACUCUGUCGGGACUGCCAUCGUAAGAUGUGAGGAAGGUGGGGAUGACGUCAAAUCAGCACGGCCCUUACGUCCGGGGCUACACACGUGUUACAAUGGGGGGUACAGAGGGCUGCUACCACGCAAGUGGAUGCCAAUCCCAAAAACCUCUCUCAGUUCGGAUUGAAGUCUGCAACCCGACUUCAUGAAGCUGGAUUCGCUAGUAAUCGCGCAUCAGCCACGGCGCGGUGAAUACGUUCCCGGGCCUUGUACACACCGCCCGUCAAG